rnacentral:rRNA from 1 species
CUUAGAGUUUGAUCCUGGCUCAGGAUGAUUUCUGGCGGUAUGCUUAACACAUGCAAGUCGAACGGUGUCUUCGGACAUAGUGGCGGACGGGUGAGUAACGCGUGAGAAUCUAGCUUCAGGUCUGGGACAACCACUGGAAACGGUGGCUAAUACCGGAUGUGCCGGAAGGUGAGAGGCUUGCUGCCUGAAGAUGAGCUCGCGUCCGAUUAGCUAGUAGGUGGGGUAAGAGCCUACCUAGGCGACGAUCGGUAGCUGGUCUGAGAGGAUGACCAGCCACACUGGGACUGAGACACGGCCCAGACUCCUACGGGAGGCAGCAGUGGGGAAUUUUCCGCAAUGGGCGAAAGCCUGACGGAGCAAUACCGCGUGAGGGAGGAAGGCUCUUGGGUUGUAAACCUCUUUUCUCAGGGAAGAACACAAUGACGGUACCUGAGGAAUCAGCAUCGGCUAACUCCGUGCCAGCAGCCGCGGUAAUACGGAGGAUGCAAGCGUUAUCCGGAAUGAUUGGGCGUAAAGCGUCCGCAGGUGGCUGUGUAAGUCUGCUGUCAAAGAGCAAAGCUCAACUUUGUAAAGGCAGUGGAAACUACACGGCUAGAGUGCGUUCGGGGCAGAGGGAAUUCCUGGUGUAGCGGUGAAAUGCGUAGAGAUCAGGAAGAACACCGGUGGCGAAGGCGCUCUGCUAGGCCGCAACUGACACUGAGGGACGAAAGCUAGGGGAGCGAAUGGGAUUAGAUACCCCAGUAGUCCUAGCUGUAAACGAUGGA